rnacentral:rRNA from 1 species
ACUCAAAUGAAUUGACGGGGACCCGCACAAGCGGUGGAGCGUGUUCUUUAAUUCGACGCUAAGCGAAGAACCUUACCAGGGCUUGACAUCCUUGGAAGCUCUGCGAAAGUAGAGUGUGCCUUUUGGAACCAAGUGACAGGUGUUGCAUGGCCGUCGUCAGCUCGUGUCGUGAGAUGUUUGGUUAAGUCCAUUAACGAGCGCAACCCUUAUGAAUAGUUGGAUUUUUCUAUUUAGACUGCCUCGGUAACGGGGAGGAAGGAGGGGAUGAUGUCAGGUCAUUAUUACCCUUACGUCCUGGGCUAGAAACGCGCUACAAUGGCCGGUACAGAGGGCAGCCAACCCGCGAGGGGGAGCAAAUCUCAUCAAAGCCGGUCCCAGUUCGGAUUGCAGGCUGAAACUCGCCUGCAUGAAGUCGGAAUCGCUAGUAAUCGUGGGUCAGCACACCACGGUGAAUACGUUCCCGGGUCUUGUACACACCGCCCGU